rnacentral:rRNA from 1 species
AGAGCGAACGCUGGCGGCAGGCCUAACACAUGCAAGUCGAACGGACCCUUCGGGGUUAGUGGCGGACGGGUGAGUAACACGUGGGAACGUGCCUUUUGGUUCGGAAUAGCUCCUGGAAACGGGUGGUAAUGCCGAAUGUGCCCUUCGGGGGAAAGAUUUAUCGCCAUUAGAGCGGCCCGCGUCUGAUUAGCUAGUUGGUGAGGUAAUGGCUCACCAAGGCGACGAUCAGUAGCUGGUCUGAGAGGAUGACCAGCCACAUUGGGACUGAGACACGGCCCAAACUCCUACGGGAGCAGCAGUGGGGAAU